rnacentral:rRNA from 1 species
ACACCGGCAGCCCGAGUGGUGGCCACUACUAUUGGGCCUAAAGCGUCCGUAGCCGGUCCGGUAAGUCCCUGUGUAAAUCCUCAGGCUCAACCUGAGGAAUUGCGGGGAUACUGCCGGACUCGGGGCCGGGAGACGCGGAGGGUACUCCAGGGGUAGCGGUGAAAUGCUGUAAUCCCUGGGGGACCACCAGUGGCGAAGGCGCUCCGCGAGAACGGGCCCGACGGUGAGGGACGAAAGCCAGGGGAGCGAACGGGAUUAGAAACCCGAGUAGUCC